rnacentral:lncRNA from 1 species
AUUUGUGUACGCUCACUUUUCUAUCAACGCUAGCAUCAGCAACAACGCCACGUCCAUCGAGAUCCAUAACUUUCUUAGAGAGAAGAAGGUAUAUCUCUAAUCAUUUCUUGUAUUUGUAUUUGUUGUGAUUAUAGAUUUGUUUAAUGUUUAUAUCUGAAAUUGAUUUAAUUUGUUUAAUUGUUUUAUGUUAGAUCAAUUGUAUUUGUGCAAAAGUUUGUCCCUUGUUUUCAAUAUUUUCUGGCUGAAAUGUAAAUCUUAGUCCUUGAGAAUAUGCAGAUGCAAGUUCUUUCUAUUUGACAGUCUUGUUGUAUUUAUAUAUAUAUAUAUAUAUAUAUAUAUAUAAUGAGAUAUUUAAAAAUGUUUAUACUCUUGGAAGAGUUGUUUAAUCACUUGUAAGAGUAGUUCAAUAUGUUUGUGUAGAGUAUGCUAUUUUUAUGAUCUGCUAAUUAAUAUACUAGGUUCAAGUCCACAAGUAAUGAUUUUUUUACCCAUUAUGGGUUAAAAUGAUUUUUGUACCCUAAUGAGGCAGAUGAUUUGUCCAGGUGAUAUUUGUUUGAUGUUUGAUGUUUCUAGCUGUUUGUGUACUUUCUUAUGUUUCUUCUUUUGCAGAGGAAGUUUUGCUUUAUUGAAUAUGACAGUAUCCAAAAAAAAUGUGCUUUAAGUUUUAACUGAUAGGUGAUUAUUGUUGGUUUACCUUUUGGAGAUUGGAAUCUAUGCUCUUUAUUCUCUAGUCCUCCUGUAUCUUUUUGCUCCUUAUGUCACCCUCUUCUUAUGCAAGGAAACCUGUAACAUUCUAAAAAGAAAUUGUUGGUUUUUGUAGUCUUAGUCAUUAGUAGCCUGUUCUUUUCUUUAAAAUGGACUGCGACAAUAUUAAUCAGCAUGAAAGAAACAAAAAGCAAAGAGUUUCUUAGUCCAUCUUACAAAAAUUGUUUUGCACUGAGGUAGACUAACAAUGCAUGUGGUUCAACAUCUUUUUUUAUACAUAAGGUCAAACGUAAGAGGUUGCUAAUACUUCUUCUUGAGAGAGCUGCAGCUUUUUCUUAAACUCAUUUACAUGUAGGGGCUUAGUGCUUCAACUGUCAUCUAAAGGAUAUCACCUUUAUUUGUGAGCAAGUUUGGCAUGAAUUUUAAGAGGUGGCAAAAAUGUAUAACACAUUUUAUCUUUCAAUGUAUUUGUAUAUUAUAUCUUCAUUAUAUCAAAGACUUGAAAAUAAUAACCUAAAAAUGUGUUGCAAGUCUUAGAAUCUGCAGCAUACCAACCCCACAAAAGGUGACAUCCUUUGUCAGGGUUGUAGUAGUAAAUAUUUAUAAUCCAUCUAUGUUUCUCUAUUAUGGUCAUAGUCUCUUAUCAUCAGUAGUAACCUAUAACAUUUUGAAUUGUUUUUCUAGCCUACUGUAGCCAGUAUUUUCAGAAGUAUUGGUAGUUUGUGUUUGCGUCUCUCUUUACAUUGUUCUGAUGAGUACCAAGGUUCUUUAUGCUAAAUUCUAAACUUUAUGUGAACGCCUCUUCCUCCAAUUUUGUAGGCAAUUCAAGCAGCUGGUUUCUCAACUGUUACAUCCUUGAGGAACACUUUGUUUCUUGCUUAUUAUUUUUGGUUUAAAUAUAUGUAUUUGUCUUUCUUGUGCAUUCAAGUUUGCUAAGCUUAACAAAUGAACAUGUUUAUUUAUAGGUUUUUGAAGAGAGGCUCGUAUGAUUGCUAGAACAAAUUAAUACCCAAACAACUAAGCAGACCAAAGUCACAGUAAGUCAUUAAAAUGUUUUCAAGACAUUCCUUUGGCAUGCUUGCUUAUUGUCUGCAUGGAUUUCUCUGUUUACUCAUUCAUUUUUAUGUAUUGAUGUUCUAUCUCAAACCUAGAGGCGAGGGAGUGUUCUUGAUGAUGAUGAUUAACUCAGAUUGAUUAAUAUUUGAUUUUCUAGUGCGUUGUUUGUGAUGUAUAUCGUAUUUUCCAAUAAUAUUUGGACCCACACAAAUAUCGUAAUUAACUUGAGAGUGGAAUGUUCUUACGGGGAUAUGUGCAUUUUGGGUUAAAUUAUUAUGCAUGUCAUAUUUCACAUUUAGUUUGUGUACUUUACUCUUUUUUUAGGAAAAAAUCUUGGUGUAUUUCUGGACAUGCUUUUGAGGAUGGAGUAUCAAGUCAGAUGACCUUGUAAUAAAGAUGGUCUAUGUAAUCAGUAAAAAAUAAGAACCUAAUUUUGGGAUAAUGAUUUCUUGAUUCACUCUUCUCAAUUACAUUGGCUUAUAUACACAAGUAUCCUAAUUUACAGUGUACAUUAGUACCACGUAGCAACUCUAUUGUCCUUUUCUGCUUAUUACCAAUACGGUGUAUAUUAGUACCACGUAGCAACUCUAUUGUCUUUGUGUAUUGAUUUUGGCACUAAGUGCCUCUAGUGACUUAUUUGCUUCAUUUUCCUGACUUUGCAAUUAUUUUUAAAUAUGUGCAGGAAGACUGCUUCUAUAACCUGCCUUAUAAUAUUGGGUAUCAAAUUUUCGUGCUAUGUUUACAGAAGACGAGGGACGAAAUUAUGAUGUGUAGUCUCUCUAUAUAUGCAGAAAUAUACUUUGAUUGAAGAACUGUGGUAGCUUUAGAUGGUUAAUUGUAAAGAUAAUGAAUGAUUAUGUAGUGGAUGAUUUUAUUAAGUUAAUAAUAUUUUAGUUUUUUGUAUUUUUGCCAUUAUUUGUUAUGGGGACAUUGAGCCAACUAGGUACACAAAAAGAAUGUCA